rnacentral:rRNA from 1 species
GGAGGAUCCGAGCGUUAUCCGGAUUUAUUGGGUUUAAAGGGAGCGUAGAUGGGUUGUUAAGUCAGUUGUGAAAGUUUGCGGCUCAACCGUAAAAUUGCAAUUGAUACUGGCAGUCUUGAGUACAGUUGAGGUAGGCGGAAUUCGUGGUGUAGCGGUGAAAUGCUUAGAUAUCACGAAGAACUCCGAUUGCGAAGGCAGCUUACUAACCUGUAACUGACAUUGAUGCUCGAAAGUGUGGGUAUCAAACAGGAUUAGAUACCCUGGUAGUCCACACGGUAAACGAUGAAUACUCGCUGUAGGCGAUAUACAGUCUGCGGCCAAGCGAAAGCAUUAAGUAUUCCACCUGGGGAGU